UACGUAGGGGGCUAGCGUUGUCCGGAAUCAUUGGGCGUAAAGCGCGUGUAGGCGGUCCGGUAAGUCCGCUGUGAAAGUCGGGGGCUCAACCCUCGGAUGCCGGUGGAUACUGUCGGGCUUGAGUACGGAAGAGGCGAGUGGAAUUCCUGGUGUAGCGGUGAAAUGCGCAGAUAUCAGGAGGAACACCAAUUGCGAAGGCAGCUCGCUGGGACGUUACUGACGCUGAGGCACGAAGGCCAGGGGAGCAAACGGG
rnacentral:rRNA from 1 species